rnacentral:rRNA from 1 species
CCUACGGGGGGCAGCAGUGGGGGAUAUUGCACAAUGGGGGAAACCCUGAUGCAGCGACGCCGCGUGUGGGAAGACGGUCCUCUGGAUUGUAAACCACUGUCCCCAGGGACGAAGAUGACGGUACCUGGGGAGGAAGCUCCGGCUAACUACGUGCCAGCAGCCGCGGUAAUACGUAGGGAGCGAGCGUUAUCCGGAAUUACUGGGUGUAAAGGGAGCGUAGACGGCUGUGCAAGUCUGGAGUGAAAGGCGGGGGCCCAACCCCCGGACUGCUCUGGACACUGUAUGGCUGGA